rnacentral:rRNA from 1 species
AAUUCGCCCUUAGAGUUUGAUCAUGGCUCAGAUUGAACGCUGGCGGCAUGCCUUACACAUGCAAGUCGAACGGUAACAGGUCUUCGGACGCUGACGAGUGGCGAACGGGUGAGUAAUACAUCGGAACGUGCCCAGUCGUGGGGGAUAACUACUCGAAAGAGUAGCUAAUACCGCAUACGAUCUGAGGAUGAAAGCGGGGGACCUUCGGGCCUCGCGCGAUUGGAGCGGCCGAUGGCAGAUUAGGUAGUUGGUGGGAUAAAAGCUUACCAAGCCGACGAUCUGUAGCUGGUCUGAGAGGACGACCAGCCACACUGGGACUGAGACACGGCCCAGACUCCUACGGGAGGCAGCAGUGGGGAAUUUUGGACAAUGGGCGAAAGCCUGAUCCAGCAAUGCCGCGUGCAGGAUGAAGGCCUUCGGGUUGUAAAUUCUUA